rfam:Schistosoma margrebowiei strain Zambia genome assembly, scaffold: SMRZ_scaffold0000276
AUCGGGCUGACGAGUCUCAAAUAGGACGAAACGCGCGUUGUCCUGGAU